rnacentral:rRNA from 1 species
AGAGUUUGAUCCUGGCUCACAACGAACGUUAGCGGCGCGCCUAACACAUGCAAGUCGAGCGAGAAAGGGGAAACCCCGGUAAAGCGGCGCACGGGUGAGUAACACGUAGGUAAUCUGCCCCCAGGUGGUGGAUAACCUUCCGAAAGGAGGGCUAAUACAGCAUAAGACCACGGUUUCCAAAGAGACUGAGGUCAAAGCCGGCCUCUUCACGAAAGCUGGCGCCAGGGGAUGAGCCUGCGGCCCAUCAGCUAGUUGGUAGGGUAAUGGCCUACCAAGGCAAAGACGGGUAGCUGGUCUGAGAGGAUGAUCAGCCACACUGGAACUGAGACACGGUCCAGACUCCUACGGGAGGCAGCAGUGGGGAAUCUUGCGCAAUGGGCGAAAGCCUGACGCAGCGACGCCGCGUGAGUGAUGAAGGCCUUCGGGUUGUGAAGCUCUGUGGAGAGGGACGAAUAAGUGUUGGCUAAUAUCCAGCAUGAUGACGGUACCUCUUUAGCAAGCACCGGCUAACUCUGUGCCAGCAGCCGCGGUAAGACAGAGGGUGCAAACGUUGUUCGGAAUUACUGGGCGUAAAGCGCGUGUAGGCUGCUCUGCUAGUCGGGUGUGAAAGCCCUGGGCUCAACCUAGGAAGUGCACUCGAAACUGCAGAGCUUGAGUCCUGGAGAGGAUCGCGGAUUUCUCGGUGUAGAGGUGAAAUUCGUAGAUAUCGAGAGGAACACCGGUGGCGAAGGUGGCGAUCUGGACAGUGACUGACGCUGAGACGCGAAAGCGUGGGGGAGCUACAGGGAUUAGAUACCCUGGGGAGUC